GGCCUCACUUAUCCACACUCCGGCCACCGCCGCUUCUUGGACCUGGNUCAAGGCGGUCAUGGACGAGCUGUACGACUACUUCACGACGAUGAAGCUGCCGUCGCGCGUGCGCAUCGCCCUUGGCCUGCUGCCUGAACAUGUGCGGCGCCGUGCACUGCUCCGACAUCGCCAUUCUGGGCGUCCACCGCAAGCCCCCCGAUGGAUUGCGGACGGCGAAGUCCCCAACGCCUGCGAAAUUCCCUCGCUGAUCGCGGCCUGCCCGACCUACGCCAUCAAGCCC
rnacentral:rRNA from 1 species